UUUUUCUUAUAAAUUGAUUUUUAAAAUGUUAUUUGCACGCUUGUGUUAGUGGUAUGUGUGCAUUUCUUGUGUACUCUAUAAAUAGGAUAGAAGGUGGGAGGUAGAAAAGGGAUUAGAAAAUAAGAGAGUAGACUUGGAAAUAGUUUUUCUUUUUCUCAUUAUUGAAAAAUUGAUUACACAUCACUUUCCGUGCAACCACCAUUGAUUUUUUUUUUUUUUUCAUUAGAAAGAAAUGCACACAUAUCACUCACACACUCUUAAAAAAUAGAGAUCGAAAAUACUACUGUACCACAACCAUCACCGGUUGAAGUUGAAAGACGUCAUUUUAGGCUAAAUAUUUUGCUUGGAUAAAAUAGAGUAAAAUAAAAUAAAGUGCUCAUUUCCACUUUAUCACGUAUUAUGACAAUAAGUUUUUUUUUUUUUUUUAUAAAUGAUGAAAGUAAGUGUCAUUGAAAAUGGAAAAAUACAGUAUACAAAGGGAGACCCACAAAAUGUGGACAGCCUAAACCAUCAAGAGCAUACAAAUAGAAGACACAGGGAGAGCCCAAAACAACAAAGCCAUAUAGAGGCCCAGGCCUAACAGUAGCAUAAAGACACUUUUAGUCUAUCAAACCCUAGACCAUGCAUGUCUAAAUUAUACAUUCAUCCGGUGAGAACAGAAAUUAGGGUUCAGAACCGGCGAUGGCCUGAUGAACAACGGCAGAUCCCGGUCCAGUUGCAGCCGUCUUGCAAGAAAGGAGUCUUUGACUGUUGUGAUCCAAUUGAUGGUGGUAGAGAGCAUGAGCUUGUUUACCAAGGACCUCAAAUCCCUAUUUAACCAUCGUGCUGUUGUCCAUUCGACCAGAUCAGCCCAAGAUGAGGGGGGGGCGAAUGAAAUCUGCAUUUUUGUGAAAGUGCAAUCCAAAAUAUUGGUCUGGUAAAGGAGCAUGCGAAGAAGAGAUGGUUGUGUGAUUCAUCAACCAGGCUGCAUAGAUGACAGGUUCUUGGACCGCGAAGGACCUCAUGCUGCUUCGAUCAAGUGUGGGAGCCUCUUCUGUAUUGCAAGCCAGAGGGAGAACUUACAUCUUGGGAUAGAAAAGGUGUUCCAAAUUAAGUGGUCCAAGGUUUCGCCUGUCGCUGUGUCUCAAGCCAUCCUAUCGUAUGGCAAAGUGAGAAAUCGCCUGUUGGUGAUGGGAUCCAGACAGAGCUAUCUCCAGCCAUGGUGGGUGGGUCAAUGCUAGCAAGCUCAGGGAAUUGGUCAACAAAGGGAACAUAGUCGGAGAGCGAAACCAACUUGUCCACAAUCAUAUCCAAUAAAUUCUCAGGAAGACAUGCCCAGUCUGACUCCUCCGAUGAAUUCUUAUCAAUGACCAUAUUUAUUUGCACUAUAGUUAUAAAAAAGCUAAUCAAUUACAAAA